rnacentral:rRNA from 1 species
GGUGAACGCUGGCGGCGUGCCUAAUACAUGCAAGUCGAGCGAACGGACGAGAAGCUUGCUUCUCUGAUGUUAGCGGCGGACGGGUGAGUAACACGUGGAUAACCUACCUAUAAGACUGGGAUAACUUCGGGAAACCGGAGCUAAUACCGGAUAAUAUUUUGAACCACAUGGUUCAAAAGUGAAAGACGGUCUUGCUGUCACUUAUAGAUGGAUCCGCGCUGCAUUAGCUAGUUGGCAAGGUAACGGCUUACCAAGGCAACGAUGCAUAGCCGACCUGAGAGGGUGAUCGGCCACACUGGAACUGAGACACGGUCCAGACUCCUACGGGAGGCAGCAGUAGGGAAUCUUCCGCAAUGGGCGAAAGCCUGACGGAGCAACGCCGCGUGAGUGAUGAAGGUCUUCGGAUCGUAAAACUCUGUUAUUAGGGAAGAACAUAUGUGUAAGUAACUGUGCACAUCUUGACGGUACCUAAUCAGAAAGCCACGGCUAACUACGUG